CAAUAGCGUAUAUUAAAGUUGUUGCAGUUAAAAAGCUCGUAGUUGGAUUUCUGGUGGGAGAGAUCGGUCUGGCGCUUAGCGCGAGUACUUGCAUCGUCUCCGGCCAUCCUUGGGGAGAGUCUGUCUGGCAUUAGGUUGUCGGGCAGAGGAUCCUCAUCGUUUACUGUGAAAAAAUUAGAGUGUUCAAAGCAGGCUUAUGCCGUUGAAUAUAUUAGCAUGGAAUAAUAAGAUAGGACUUUGGUACUAUUUUGUUGGUUUGCGCACCAAAGUAAUGAUUAAUAGGGACAGUUGGGGGUAUUCGUAUUCCGUUGUCAGAGGUGAAAUUCUUGGAUUUACGGAAGACGAACUACUGCGAAAGCAUUUACCAAGGAUGUUUUCAUUAA
rnacentral:rRNA from 1 species